GGCAGUGUGGCAUAUAGUGGUAGGGUGUCGGGCUUGUAACUGAAAGGUUGCUGGUUCGAUUCCCCGCUGGAG